AUGUUCAGAAUGUAUGAUGCAACUUUGGAACCAGGAAUUAACUGUUUUAAACUCAUUCUAGUCGAGUCGUCAGUUACUUGGUCCUCUUGUUUGUCUAAACUCAUUCUAGUCGAGUCGUCAGUUACUUGGUCCUCUUGUUUGUCUAAACUCAUUCUAGUCGAGUCGUCAGUUACUUGGUCCUCUUGUUUGUCUAAACUCAUUCUAGUCGAGUCGUCAGUUACUUGGUCCUCUUGUUCGUCUAAACUCAUUCUAGUCGAGUCGUCAGUUACUUGGUCCUCUUGUUUGUCUAAACUCAUUCCUGUCGAGUCGUCAGUUACUUGGUCCUCUUGUUUGUCUAAACUCAUUCUAGUCGAGUCGUCAGUUACUUGGUCCUCUUGUUUGUCUAAACUCAUUCUAGUCGAGUCGUUAGUUACUUGGUCCUCUUGUUUGUCUAAACUCAUUCUAGUCGAGUCGUCAGUUACUUGGUCCUCUUGUUUGUCUAAACUCAUUCUAGUCGAGUCGUUAGUUACUUGGUCCUCUUGUUUGUCUAAACUCAUUCCUGUCGAGUCGUCAGUUACUUGUGCCUCUUGUUUGUCUAAACUCAUUCUGGUCGAGUCGUCAGUUACUUGGUCCUCUUGUUUGUCUAAACUCAUUCUAGUAGACUCGUCAGUUACUUGGUCCUCUUGUUUGUCUAAACUCAUUCUAGUCGAGUCGUCAGUUACUUGGUCCUCUUGUUUGUCUAAACUCAUUCUAGUCGAGUCGACAGUUACUUGGUACUCUUGUUUGUCUAAACUCAUUCUAGUCGAGUCGUCAGUUACUUGGUCCUCUUGUUUGUCUAAACUCAUUCUAGUCGAGUCGACAGUUACUUGGUCCUCUUGUUUGUCUAAACUCAUUCUGGUCGAGUCGACAGUUACUUGGUCCUCUUGUUUGUCUAAACUCAUUCUAGUCGAGUCGACAGUUACUUGGUCCUCUGUGUUUCGGUCUCUAUAUCUAGUAUUUGCCAUAACAGGUAGUUGCCAACAUAACGUUUCAGUUAUUUCUUGA
rnacentral:lncRNA from 1 species